rnacentral:rRNA from 1 species
GAAUCGCUAGUAAUCGCGGAUCAGCAUGCCGCGGUGAAUACGUUCCCGGGCCUUGUACACACCGCCCGUCACACCAUGAGAGUCGGGAACACCCGAAGUCCGUAGCCUAACCGCAAGGAGGGCGCGGCCGAAGGUGGGUUCGAUAAUUGGGUGAAGUCGUAACAAGGUACC